rnacentral:tRNA from 1 species
UAAGGGAUAGUAUAAUUAAAUUAUAUGAAGCUGUUAACUUCAGGAUGUGCUAUAUAAGCACUCUCUUAG